rnacentral:rRNA from 1 species
GGGGCAGCAGUCUUAGCUUUAAGCGAUGGCGACCGGCGCACGGGUGAGUAACACGUAUCCACCUGCCGUCUACUCUUGGACAGCCUUCUGAAAGGAAGAUUAAUACAAGAUGGCUCCGCAUGUUUAAAGGUAUUCCGGUAGACGAUGGGGAUGCGUUCCAUUAGAUAGUAGGCGGGGUAACGGCCCACCUAGUCUUCGAUGGAUAGGGGUUCUGAGAGGAAGGUCCCCCACAUUGGAACUGAGACACGGUCCAAACUUAUACGGGAGGCAGCAGUGAGGAAUAUUGGUCAAUGGGCGAGAGCCUGAACCAGCCAAGUAGCGUGAAGGAUGACUGCCUAUGGGUUGUAAACUUCUUUUAUAAAGGAAUAAGUCGGGUAUGCAUACCCGUUUGCAUGUACUUUAUG